rnacentral:rRNA from 1 species
AGCACGUAGGUGGGUUUGUAAGUCAGACGUGAAAGCCUUCUGCUCAACGGAAGAAUUGCGUCUGAAACUACAAACCUUGAGUGUAGGAGGGGAGAAUGGAACUUCUGGUGGAGCGGUGAAAUGCGUAGAUAUCAGAAGGAACGCCGGCGGCGAAAGCGAUUCUCUGGCCUAUUACUGACACUCAGUGUGCGAAAGCUAGGGGAGCAAACGGGAUUAGAUACCCCGGUAGUCCUAGCCGUAAACGAUGGGCACUAAGUAGAGGGG